ensembl:lncRNA
ACACACUUCCUUAUACUUUGUCCUGUUCUGCAGCAACCUAGCCACUUACUCCUUACACAUCAAUAGGAUAGCUCUUCUGUAACAGUCUGAGUUUUGCACAGUCAAGUUCUGAAAGGCAAAUGUUUCUGAAACCCAAGAUUUCAUCUGAUUUCGUAUUCAAACCAGACCACACGAUGAUCUGUGUCUGAUUUCUGCACAAAAACAUGAAUUGUUUCUUUCCAGCAAGGCAUGAUUCACGUGGCUUAUACUUUUGUUUUAACUUUUGCAGAACUCUGUUCUGUAUCUCAUUACUAGUCCCCAGGAGAGACCCCGUCUCUAGCCCUUAAAUGGGGAUUUUGUCAGGAAGAGUCUCAUAUACCAUAAAAGAAGGUUUCAGUUUUGGCAAAUCAGAUAUCUCAAGAAAAGUGGAUAAAUGGUGUCGGAGAUGAGCUUUCACAAACAAUUUAUGUGUGUGCAUUUCUCACAAAGAAACAAUGAGGAAAUAAUUUGAAACAACACAAGAGAAGAUCUCUAAAUGUGUUUUCCAAGAUCAUAAAGUCAGAGUCUGCAGCCAAUGAGUGAAACAGAAGUGCUAAUCUAAAAUGAAAAUUCUGUUUUGACAAGGCAGAACAAAACAAGGACCAGACGGAAAUCCUGUUACAAAGACACUACUUCUGCAACUUUCAGUUUCUUCUAGAUGAUGAUGUAGGUAAAAGAUGGAGAAGCAUUCAAAAAUUUGUCUAAAAAGAGAAAAAGUUCUAACAAAACAAGCAAGGUCAGAACACCCAUAGGUUUGCACAGAAGGAAAAUAUAUUUCACUGUUUGAUAUUCAACAUGUCGCACAUUAAAUGUCUAAAACUAAAAUUAUUCCUGACUACAAAAACCUAAGAACUACUCAGGUUUAGAAGCUGGCCAAACACAGUUUCUAGGUUUAAUCUCCUAUACCACCAUCUCAGUAUGAAAGAAAAAAUACCAUAGGCUGACUUUCUCUUCUGUACUGAUCUCUGUUCAGAGCUUUGAUGUUUGUUACGUUAACCCAGAAAGACAAUUUUUUUCUCAUAGCUUUAAAAGUGUAC